UGGAUAACUUCGGGAAACCGGAGCUAAUACCGGAUAAUAUUUCGAACCGCAUGGUUCGAUAGUGAAAGAUGGUUUUGCUAUCACUUAUAGAUGGACCCGCGCCGUAUUAGCUAGUUGGUAAGGUAACGGCUUACCAAGGCGACGAUACGUAGCCGACCUGAGAGGGUGAUCGGCCACACUGGAAUUGAGACACGGUCCAGACUCCUACGGGAGGCAGCAGGG
rnacentral:rRNA from 1 species